rnacentral:rRNA from 1 species
CCUACGGGAGGCAGCAGUAGGGAAUAUUGGACAAUGGGGGGAACCCUGAUCCAGCAAUGCCGCGUGAGUGAAGAAGGCCUUUGGGUCGUAAAGCUCUGUCAAAUGGGAAGAACAUUGACGGUACCAUUAGAGGAAGCCCCGGCUAACUCCGUGCCAGCAGCCGCGGUAAU